UGGGCUUGUGCUAAGCUCACUACUUCUGCUGCUGACCCCUUGCUGCUUCUGCUGCUUACUCGCUUGCUAACUCUACUGAUGCUGUCGUUUGCUGCUCUAUUUAGUUGCUUUGCACAAACUGGGGUUUUAAUUUGGACUUGAUUGGACUUCCAUUUUAGCAUUGGACAUUUAGGUGCAUCUAACAUGGAAGGUUCCCGCUUCAAUAAUGAACUGUUACAAGUUAAAUUGUAACUUGAACUUUUUUGUCAGCUCGCGACUCUUCAGCACACCUGCAACUUUGUCUGGUCACGGACAAACACAAAGAAAAGAAAGAAACCAAGCUGGAGCAGAAGCAGCAACAGAAGUAGCAGAAGAUGUGUGUCUGGCUGUGGCAGUCCACCCAUCAGGUCCUGAAGUCUACAUGGGAAUCCCAAAUGCUGCCAGGCUCAACGGAGGAGGAGGAGGAGGAGGAGGAGGCAGGUGUUUAAAAGCGCAUCGACUUAGAUGACCCCAUCCCUCCAGCCAACUUCACCAGUCGCUCCCCAUCUCAUCAAGGAGAUUUCCAGGUGUAAUUUUCCAAUGAAGUGUGCCUACAUAACCAAGACCAUAGAAACGCAUGCUGCCAACCACAAUGAAAACUUUGGAAAAUGUCACCGGAGAGUACUUGUAGGUUUGAGGAAAAUCGCCUGUGCCUGUUUUCAGCGCAAAUUUUUGCUUGAGGCUGCCUUGCUUGUUGAGACUGGUAUUGCUGCUUGUAUACUGGGAAGCAUCUACUUGGUCCUUGUUCAGUGGACCAGUUAUUCAGAGGGGAUAUUGUUUUUGUUGCGAGACAAGUGGUCAGUGAUAUGUGGGGUGGGGAAAAAAAUAUGUAUUACAUAUGAGUGUGACAGCAAAAGUUAUUGGGUGCAAUCAGACACAUUUUGUCAAUAGCUGUACACCUAUGCAACUUUGGGCGUGUCCAUAAGGGUGCAUCUGGUAGCAGUGUGCGGUGUGAUCUUACAUUGUGAUUGAUUUUAAUAACUGCUUUGUGAUAUACAACAUGGAUUAGGUGCCAUCAAAGUUCAUUGUAAAUAAUGUUCGUGGCCUCUCUAUUUCUCAGUUAAUAAUCAGUCAUUUGUGCCUGCACAGACAGUUGAAUAUUAACUGUAGUGUUUCUUUUCAUCUGCUUUUUGUGUGUAGUAUCUUUCACAGGUGUGUGAAGAAUCAACCCCGAGAGAUUGCCUACUGACAUGGACGCUAUCAAAGCAAUAAAUAAUA